AGAGCUGGCAAGUCGUCCCAGGGAAGACAACGGCCUUCCUGGAGGGAGGGAACCUUGUGGUUAGGCGCAUGGGGUGCGAAGCAGAAAAGAAAGUACAGAGAAAAAAAAAGAAUGGAAUACACAUGAAUGCCGAACCACAUUGGAUAUGUAGCUGUUCAUGAAGAUAUUCCAGGGAAGGCCUAUCUAGUAGAGCCUCAAAUCUAUUUGAAUACAAAUGGCACUCAUUAAGGACAUCUGUCUUCUGUAAUGUCUACACAAAGUCUUACCGGGGUCUUCUUGGCUCUUAUUGACGGCUGAUGAAGGAGGGGUUUAUAAAGAAAACAAGCCAAAACCUGAAUAACUUGCUACUGAGAGCAGCACACAUAUUUUCCCAAAGUGCAAAGUUGAGAAGAAGUACAAAGCUUUGUUAAUAUUCUGAACAGUACUGCUUAGUAUGAUCUAAUUGAUGGAUUUUCCAUGGACUCCCUAGAGACUGAAAAAGGUUUGACUGUCAGGAAACUUUUCUUGUGUUUAUUCUUCAAUUUUCCUUUUCCUACUUUCCAAUCAUCAUUCCCUAUUAACAUCCCUUGAUGGGUCACCUUAAGUGAUUAUUCUUUUUAAUGGCAUUUAUAACGUUUAAUAUUUCCCUGUUAAUUUCUAUUCCGACAAAGUACAUAUUUUUU
rnacentral:lncRNA from 10 species